rnacentral:rRNA from 1 species
AAUGGGCGAAAGCCUGACGCAGCAACGCCGUGUGAGGGAUGAAGGCUUUCGGGUCGUAAACCUCUGUCGGAAGGGAAGAACGGGUAGAGGUCUAAUAGGCCUUUAUUUUGACGGUACCUUUAGAGGAAGCACCGGCUAACUCCGUGCCAGCAGCCGCGGUAAUACGGAGGGUGCAAGCGUUAUUCGGAAUUACUGGGCGUAAAGCGCACGUAGGCGGCCUUGUAAGUCAGGGGUGAAAUCCCACGGCUCAACCGUGGAACUGCCCUUGAAACUGCGAGGCUUGAAUCCUGGAGAGGGUGGCGGAAUUCCUGGUGUAGGAGUGAAAUCCGUAGAUAUCAGGAGGAACACCGGUGGCGAAGGCGGCCACCUGGACAGGCAUUGACGCUGAGGUGCGAAAGUGUGGGGAGCAAA